UGUGGACUGUAUCUUAAGUUCACUAUGGGUGAUUGGCACGUGUAUUUGCUUGAACAUGGUAUUUCUAUAUUCGAAUCUAUGGCAUUUUACAUCAACAUCUAAAAGCCAUCACCAAGAGCUCUCUCAGUAACUUUUAUCCUUGCAAGGCGAUUGGACUUCAUCCCAACUGAUUGGUAAAAGCAUGGCAGGUAAGUCACCGACUUUCAAAAGCUGAAGGUUAAUAAUUCAGAGAUGAGUGCAUUUCAUGGUGCAGUUUUUGAGUUUCAAAAUCAUCCAUAUCAUUAGAUAAGUCCAUUUCUUAUUGAAGAUUUAUUAGUCUAUCAUACAAUUUAUUGAUAGUCUCAUAAUAAAAGGACGAGUAAAAGUUACUAGACGAUCUUUUUCUCCGUUAUAUUUAUUUUGAAUAUUUUUCUCUAGCGUCCUUUAUUAAGACAAAAAUGUGCCCUUUAGUGAACCUUACACCUAUAAUAUUAGAAUAACAGUUCAACUAGAAGAUAAAUUUUGGCAUUCAGUCAUAGUAGUUAUGGGUCUUUUUGUGUGUUUCAUACGCAGACUUUAGAAUCUUAUCCCCUUAAAAUGAUUUUUUUCUCCAAGUAUACUUCUUGAAGUAAUUACAUGCGCUUUGCAAUUUGUGGCUUCAUUUCAGUGAUCUUUCAGAAUAGAACAAAGAACGUAUGGAAGAGUAAUUCUUUUGUAGCUUAUGAUGAUUCUAUUUUCUUUCUGUAUCAGGUUUUGGCAUUGCCACUAUGCAUAUACCCUUUUCUUGAGGGUCUUGCAUAUUGCAGCUUUACGAUUGCUUUGUUGGUCCUUCAAUGAAUAGAGUAUAAAUCUUUCUAAUGUUUGAUAAUGAGACAUUUGUGCAUAUUUACUUUAUAUACUCAUCUCACUGGUUUAUAUCUAUAUAUGGAUAGAUCAGUGCGCUUGCAUUAAGUUUCAUGCCUUCUCUUUGCAUGACUUAGCAAAUGUAUCCCAACUUCAUGAUUCGGCAAAUUGUUGACCACUUUUGCAUAUUUGGAGCUGGUAAGUGAAGAAGUAUGGUGUCGAAAGUUUUCGAUUACUUUAAACAUCCACACUUAUAUGAUAAUUGUUUAUAUGUUAGGGUCGACAUCAAGAAUGUGUACUGAACAAUAUAAUACUAACUUGCACAUCGUUGCGGAGAGAAAUUUGUUUUAUCUAAGCUUAGAGUGAUUUUAGUCACUUAUUUUCCUUAACCCUUUUACAUUCUGCAAAAUCUUAAAUACUCAGAUCGCAAUGCUACAACAUUGAGUUGUCAGAACAAUACUGAGCUGCUGAACAAUUAUUCUACACACAAAGAUAUGUAUACUUUGUGGAGCACAAGAUUGGAACAUGAAUAAUCAGAACUGGAAGCUGUUUGUUCGUGAUCAUAUCAGUCAUUUAAUUUAAGGACUUGAGUCUUGUACCUUUGCAUUUUACAAUAGUAGCUAGGACUAAAAUUAUGCCUUCUUUCUGGUUUUGAACUUAUGGAGCUUAGAAAGAGGUUUGGAUGUUCACUAUUCUAGGAAAGUUCUACUAUUGUGAGACAUGCCGUUACCAAAUUAACUUCAAAAACUGGACAAAAUGUGUAAAUGGAAAUGGGUAAGUUAAUUUGCUAGGUCGUAAAGCAAAGACCUCAACAAUUUACGACUUGCACA
rnacentral:lncRNA from 1 species